UACAGAGGGUGCGAGCGUUAAUCGGAAUUACUGGGCGUAAAGCGUGCGUAGACGGCUAUCUAAGUCGGGUGUGAAAGCCCCGGGCUCAACCUGGGAAUUGCAUUCGAGACUGAAUAGCUAGGGUACGGUAGAGGGAAGCGGAAUUUCCGGUGUAGCGGUGAAAUGCGUAGAUAUCGGAAGGAACAUCAGUGGCGAAGGCGGCUUACUGGUCCGGUACUGACGCUGAGGUGCGAAAGCGUGGGGAGCAAACAGG
rnacentral:rRNA from 1 species